rnacentral:rRNA from 1 species
CAGUAGCCGCGGUAAUACGGAGGGAGCUAGCGUUGUUCGGAAUUACUGGGCGUAAAGCGCGCGUAGGCGGUUACUCAAGUCAGAGGUGAAAGCCCGGGGCUCAACCCCGGAACUGCCUUUGAAACUAGGUGACUAGAAUCUUGGAGAGGUCAGUGGAAUUCCGAGUGUAGAGGUGAAAUUCGUAGAUAUUCGGAAGAACACCAGUGGCGAAGGCGACUGACUGGACAAGUAUUGACGCUGAGGUGCGAAAGCGUGGGGAGCAAACAGGAUUAGAGACCCCUGUAGUCCCUGUCUCUUAUAA